UGACUUAAGAAGGAACUCAACGCAGAGGAAAGCAAAAUGGAGACAUGGAGGGAGACGCCAAGUUCCAGUGACAUUAAGCCCCUGAAUCCCACCAUGGCUGAACUUGCAUUACUGAAGCCCUCCUGAGUUGAAUUUCUGCCUCUUGCAAAUGAAAGAGGCCUGAUGAAUACCCACAUAGUUCAAUUUCAAUAUACGAAGGUUGGCUGAUUGUGGAGGCUAAAGCAACUCUACCUUGCCAGCUUAUCCACCAUGUGGACUUCUAAUUAAUCUCAGUUGCCGGAAUGCCUCUAAGAUUUCUACGUUAUCUACUGUGAAGAGCAAGUAAUUACUGCAAAUCCUGCCCUUGGGUCAAAACAACCUUGAUGACAUAUUCCUUCUGAAGCACAUAUACUCUUUCCCUAGCUGCCUGCCCUGCAGACUUCAGGCUCCAGCAUCAGACACAGAGACCCAGCGUUAUGGAGACUGUCUAACCAGAUCUCACAAUUGUGGAAGAUCCCAACUCCUACAGAAAUCUCUUAAAAACCACGUGUGGCUGGGCACAGUGGCUCAUGUAUGUAAUUCCAGCACUUUGGGAGGCUGAGGUGAGUGGAUCUCUUGAGCCCAGGAGUUUGAGACCAGCCUGGAGCAACAUGGUGAAACUGUGUCUCUACAAAAGAUACAAAAAUUAGCUGGGCAUGGUGGCAUGCGCCUGUAGUCCCAGCUACUCAGGAGGCUGAGGUGGGAGGGUGACUUGAGCCCAGGAAUUGAAGGCUGUAGUGAGCUGUGAUUGUGCCCCUGCACUCCAGCUGGGGUGACAGAGCGAGACCCUGUCUCAAAAACAACCCCUCCCCCAAAAAAGUCACCUGGAUGAGGCCAGGCGCGGUGG